GGAUCAGCGGCCGCUGCAGAGUUUGAUCCUGGCUCAGAACGAACGCUGGCGGCGUGCCUAACACAUGCAAGUCGGACGGACUUAUAUCUGAAGGGUAACUGGAGGGUGUAAGUUAGUGGCGCACGGGUGAGUAACACGUAGAUAACCUACCCUCAAGAGGGGGACAACACAGGGAAACUUGUGCUAAUACCGCAUAAGGCCACGGGUUGGGAUACUUGUGGUAAAAGGGUGGCGACACCGCUUAGGGAUGGGUCUGCGGCCUAUCAGGUAGUUGGUGGGGUAAUGGCCUACCAAGCCUAAGACGGGUAACCGGACUGAGAGGUUGGACGGUCACACUGGAACUGAGAUACGGUCCAGACUCCUACGGGAGGCAGCAGUGGGGAAUUUUGCACAAUGGGCGGAAGCUGAUGCAGCGACGGCGCGUGGAGGAAGAAGGCCUUCGGGUUGUAACCUCGUUUUAUAGGGGGCAAUGGUGAUGGUACCCUAUGAGUAGCGACGGGUACCUGUGUCCACGACCCCGGGCAAUCAAAACGGUCGCGC
rnacentral:rRNA from 1 species